rnacentral:rRNA from 1 species
UUGCGCUAUCAAAUGAGCCUAGGUCGGAUUAACUAGUAGGUGAGGUAAUGGCUCACCUAGGCGACGAUCCGUAACUGGUCUGAGAGGAUGAUCAGGCCCACUGGAACUGAAACACGGGCCAGACUCCUAC